UGGGGAAUAUUGCACAAUGGUCGCAAGCCUGAUGCAGCCAUGCCGCGUGUAUGAAGAAGGCCUUCGGGUUGUAAAGUACUUUCAGUCGGGAGGAAGGUGGUAAGGUUAAUAACCUUAUCAAUUGACGUUACCGACAGAAGAAGCACCGGCUAACUCCGUGCCAGCAGCCGCGGUAAUACGGAGGGUGCAAGCGUUAAUCGGAAUUACUGGGCGUAAAGCGCACGCAGGCGGUUGAUUGAGUCAGAUGUGAAAUCCCCGGGCUUAACCCGGGAAUUGCAUCUGAUACUGGUCAGCUAGAGUCUUGUAGAGGGGGGUAGAAUUCCAUGUGUAGCGGUGAAAUGCGUAGAGAUGUGGAGGAAUACCGGUGGCGAAGGCGGCCCCCUGGACAAAGACUGACGCUCAGGUGCGAAAGCGUGGGGAGCAAACAGG
rnacentral:rRNA from 1 species